rnacentral:lncRNA from 1 species
ACAUAAAUCCCAUUUAGCAUGAAUAUGAAAUUAAAUUGACGCACUACAACAAAACUAUGUUUUAGCGGCGAUUAUUUUUUAAAUUAGCGGCAAUUACAAUUGCCGCUAAAAUAUUUUGUGGCAAUUUUAAUAAUUGCCGCUAUUGGCAGGGUCGCUAAAAGUUUUAGCGGCAUUUAUUCCGGCGGUCGGUAAAAAUCCAAAUAAAUACCGCUAAAUAUUAUACAAUAACGACUAUUAUAAAUGCCGCUAAAUAGUAUGCAAUAACAACUAUUAUAAAUGCCGCUAAAUAAUAU